GGUAGAGCGCUCGCUUAGCAUGCG
rnacentral:piRNA from 1 species